rnacentral:rRNA from 1 species
AUGUGUGGGGGUCUUGGUAUCCAGAUGAGAGGGAAAACUUCUUUUCCGGCCAGGAUUCUUCCCGACUCAGUCCGUGGAUGGCAGUCGACCUGGUUUUACUGUAAAGACCAGUCGACGCCAGGGCAGUCGACUGGCCUCCCUCCCUUUACCAUGGACCGAGUGAGGAAACCAUCCCCUUUGAAGGUGCUCCCGGAGGAGAAAGCGCAGGUGAGGGUGCUGGUCGAGCGAGUGGUCCAGCUUAUCCGUGACGGGGUCACCGGUAUGGAUCUCUUGGAGGUCUUCCUUCAGCGGCGCAUCCAGCCUCUUCAAGCCCGAGACCACCCGAUGUGGAUGUAUUCGGGUCUUGAAGACUCCACUCGGAUUCACCCGGAGGAGGUCGAUGACGACACACUGGAGAAGUGGCUGUCGGGCAUGACCGGAAACAAGGACAACCCCAGGGGAGCCAGGAGAGUUCCUCCAUUUGACCAGUCUCAUGUACCAGAGAAGGCCAUUAUUGAAAUGUAUUCAAUGCCCAACGGAGAAUAG